AUACGUAGGGGGCGAGCGUUGUCCGGAAUGAUUGGGCGUAAAGGGUGCGUAGGCGGGACUGCAAGUCAGAUGUGAAAUGCCGGGGCUCAACCCCGGAGCUGCAUUUGAAACUGUGGUUCUUGAGUGAGGUAGAGGUAAGCGGAAUUCCUAGUGUAGCGGUGAAAUGCGUAGAUAUUAGGAGGAACAUCGGUGGCGAAGGCGGCUUACUGGGCCUUUACUGACGCUGAGGCACGAAAGCGUGGGGAGCAAACAGGAUUAGAUACCCUGGUAGUCCACGCUGUAAACGAUGAUGACUAGGUGUGGGGGGACUGAACCCUUCCGUGCCGCAGUUAACACAAUAAGUCAUCCACCUGGGGAGUACGGCCGCAAGGUUGAUACUCAAAUGAAUUGGCGGGG
rnacentral:rRNA from 1 species